UUGACCUCGGAUCAGGUAGGGAUACCCGCUGAACUUAAGCAUAUCAAUAAGCGGAGGAAAAGAAACCAACAGGGAUUGCCUCAGUAACGGCGAGUGAAGCGGCAAAAGCUCAAAUUUGAAAUCUGGCUUCUUCGGAGCCCGAGUUGUAAUUUGUAGAGGAUGCUUCGGGCGUGGCCGCGGUCUAAGUCCCCUGGAACGGGGCGUCGCAGAGGGUGAGAAUCCCGUCUUCGGCCGGCCGGCUUCGCCCGUGUGAAGCUCCUUCGACGAGUCGAGUUGUUUGGGAAUGCAGCUCUAAAUGGGUGGUAAAUUUCAUCUAAAGCUAAAUACUGGUCGGAGACCGAUAGCGCACAAGUAGAGUGAUCGAAAGAUGAAAAGCACUUUGAAAAGAGAGUUAAACAGCAUGUGAAAUUGUUGAAAGGGAAGCGCUUGCGACCAGAGUCGGCCGCGGGGGUUCAGCGGGCAUUCGUUGCCCGUGCACUCCCCCGGGGCCGGGCCAGCGUCGGUUUCGACGGCCGGUCAAAGGCCCCCGGAAUGUGUCGCCUCUCGGGGCGUCUUAUAGCCGGGGGUGCAAUGCGGCCAGUCGGGACCGAGGAACGCGCUUCGGCACGGACGCUGGCUUAAUGGUCGUAAGCGACC
rnacentral:rRNA from 1 species